AAGGGGGAAAAAAAGAACCAAACAUUUAUGUAAGAUGAAGAUGGCGAGUUGGUUGGGUUUUUCUGUUAGCUGGAGUACACACACACACACACACACACACACACACACACACACACACACACACACACACACACACAGACACACACACACACACACACAGACACACAC